rnacentral:rRNA from 1 species
UACGUAGGGGGCAAGCGUUGUCCGGAAUCAUUGGGCGUAAAGAGUGUGUAGGCGGUGCUCUAAGUUCGGUGUGAAAUCUCCCGGCUCAACUGGGAGGGUGCGCCGAAAACUGGGGUGCUGGAGCGCGGGAGAGGAAAGCGGAAUUCCUGGUGUAGCGGUGAAAUGCGUAGAUAUCAGGAGGAACACCGGCGGUGUAGACGGCUUUCUGGACCGUAGCUGACGCUGAGACACGAAAGCGUGGGUAGCAAACAGG